rnacentral:rRNA from 1 species
UGGGGAAUAUUGCACAAUGGGCGCAAGCCUGAUGCAGCCAUGCCGCGUGUAUGAAGAAGGCCUUCGGGUUGUAAAGUACUUUCAGCGGGGAGGAAUGGAGUAAAGUUAAUACCUUUGCUCAUUGACGUUACCCGCAGAAGAAGCACCGGCUAACUCCGUGCCAGCAGCCGCGGUAAUACGGAGGGUGCAAGCGUUAAUCGGAAUUACUGGGCGUAAAGCGCACGCAGGCGGUCUGUCAAGUCGGAUGUGAAAUCCCCGGGCUCAACCUGGGAACUGCAUUCGAAACUGGCAGGCUAGAGUCUUGUAGAGGGGGGUAGAAUUCCAGGUGUAGCGGUGAAAUGCGUAGAGAUCUGGAGGAAUACCGGUGGCGAAGGCGGCCCCCUGGACAAAGACUGACGCUCAGGUGCGAAAGCGUGGGGAGCAAACAGG